AGGACGACGCUGGCGGCGUGCCUAAUACAUGCAAGUCGAACGGUCUUUUCUAUGGAAGCUUGCUUCCACUGAAAAGAUAGUGGCGAACGGGUGAGUAACACGUGGGUAACCUGCCCACAAGAGGGGGAUAACAUCCGGAAACGGGUGCUAAUACCGCAUAGUUUUCUUGAUCGCAUGAUCGGGAAAGGAAAGACGGCCUUUGUGCUGUCGCUUAUGGAUGGACCCGCGGCGUAUUAGUUAGUUGGUAAGGUAACGGCUCACCAAGACGAUGAUACGUAGCCGACCUGAGAGGGUGAUCGGCCACAUUGGGACUGAGACACGGCCCAAACUCCUACGGGAGGCAGCAGUAGGGAAUCUUCCGCAAUGGACGAAAGUCUGACGGAGCAACGCCGCGUGAGUGAAAGAAGGUUUUCGGAUCGUAAAACUCUGUUGUCAGAGAAGAACAAGUUGGAGAGUAACUGCUCCAGCCUUGACGGUAUCUGACCAGAAAGCCACGGCUAACUACGUGCCAGCCGCGGC
rnacentral:rRNA from 1 species